GAUCUGGCUCAGGAUGAACGCUAGCGGCAGGCUUAACACAUGCUAGUCGAGGGGCAGCGGGGUGUAGCAAUACACUGCCGGCGACCGGCGCACGGGUGCGUAACGCGUAUGCAACCUACCCAUAACAGGGGCAUAACACUGAGAAAUUGGUACUAAUUCCCCAUAACAUUCGAAGAGGCAUCUCUUUGGGUUGAAAACUCCGGUGGUUAUGGAUGGGCAUGCGUUGUAUUAGCUAGUUGGUG
rnacentral:rRNA from 1 species